UGGGGAAUUUUGGACAAUGGGCGAAAGCCUGAUCCAGCAAUGCCGCGUGUGUGAAGAAGGCCUUCGGGUUGUAAAGCACUUUUGUCCGGAAAGAAAUCCUUGGCUCUAAUACAGUCGGGGGAUGACGGUACCGGAAGAAUAAGCACCGGCUAACUACGUGCCAGCAGCCGCGGUAAUACGUAGGGUGCAAGCGUUAAUCGGAAUUACUGGGCGUAAAGCGUGCGCAGGCGGUUUGCUAAGACCGAUGUGAAAUCCCCGGGCUCAACCUGGGAACUGCAUUGGUGACUGGCAGGCUAGAGUAUGGCAGAGGGGGGUAGAAUUCCACGUGUAGCAGUGAAAUGCGUAGAGAUGUGGAGGAAUACCGAUGGCGAAGGCAGCCCCCUGGGCCAAUACUGACGCUCAUGCACGAAAGCGUGGGGAGCAAACAGGAUUAGAUACCCUGGUAGUCCACGCCCUAAACGAUGUCAACUAGUUGUGGGGAUUCAUUUCCUAGUAACGUAGCUAACGCGUGAAGUUGACCGCCU
rnacentral:rRNA from 1 species